UACUUUAAUCGGCCACACUUAUUUAUGUAUUUCAUGCAUACUGCUAGCCUCCGUUUGGCGGCUGUUGCAGGACAUGGGAAAAUACAUUGCAUCAAAAUAUGAAUGACAAACUUAUACACUUGUUAACAUUGUAGUUUACAAGAAGAAGUAGUUGAGCAAUACAAUAGGAGGGUGUGAUUUUCCUGAGUUAGCCCUUAAA
rnacentral:lncRNA from 1 species